UAUUUUGUUGGUUUCUAGGACCGCUGUAAUGAUUAAUAGGGAUAGUCGGGGGCGUCAGUAUUCAAUUGUCAGAGGUGAAAUUCUUGGAUUUAUUGAAGACUAACUACUGCGAAAGCAUUCGCCAAGGAUGUUUUCAUUAAUCAGUGAACGAAAGUUAGGGGAUCGAAGACGAUCAGAUACCGUCGUAGUCUUAACCAUAAACUAUGCCGACUAGGGAUCGGACGGUGUUUUUUAUAUGACCCGUUCGGCACCUUACGAGAAAUCAAAGUGUAUGGGUUCUGGGGGGAGUAUGGUCGCAAGGCUGAAACUUAAAGAAAUUGACGGAAGGGCACCACAAGGCGUGGAGCCUGCGGCUUAAUUUGACCCAACACGGGAAAACUCACCAGGUCCAGACAUGYUUAGGAUUGACAGAUUGAUAGCUCUUUCUUGAUURUAUGGGUGGUGGUGCAUGGCCGUUCUUAGUUGGUGGAGUGAUUUGUCUGCUUAAUUGCGAUAACGAACGAGACCUUGACCUGCUAAAUAGCCAGCCUGACWUUUGUUGGGCGCCGGCUUCUUAGAGGGACUUUUGGCUCAAGCCAAUGGAAGUACGAGGCAAUAACAGGUCUGUGAUGCCCUUAGAUGYUCUGGGCCGCACGCGCGCUACACUGACAGAGCCAGCGAGUACAUCACCUUGGCCGAAAGGUCUGGGUAAUCUUGUUAAACUCUGUCGUGCUGGGGAUAGAGCAUGCAAUA
rnacentral:rRNA from 1 species